rnacentral:rRNA from 1 species
GACGAACGCUGGCGGCGUGCUUAACACAUGCAAGUCGAACGGAAAGGCCUGCUUUCCCUUGUGGUUUGCGGGUACUCGCGUGGCGAACGGGUGAGUACCACGUGAGUGAUCUGCUCCUAACUUGUGUAUAAGCCUGGGAAACUGAGUCUAAUUCUCGCUACGACUGCAGGGUGCUGCCUGUGGUGGAAAACGAUUUUCUUGUGUUUGGGGAUGAGCUCGCGGCCUAUCAGCUUGUUGGUGGGGUAAUGGCCUACCAAGGCGGGGACGGGUAGCCGGCCUGAGAGGGUGGACGGCCACAUUGGGACUGAGAUACGGCCCAGACUCCUACGGGAGGCAGCAGUGGGGAAUAUGACACAAUGGGCGGAAGCCUGAUGCAGCGACGCCGCGUGGGGGAUGACGGCCUUCGGGUUGUAAACUCCUUUCGACCGCGAGGAAGCCACCUGGUUGGAAGGGUGGUGACGGUAGUGGUAGAAGAAGCACCGGCUAACUACGUG